rnacentral:rRNA from 1 species
UACGUAGGGGGCAAGCGUUGUCCGGAAUCAUUGGGCGUAAAGAGCGCGUAGGCGGUCCGAUAAGUCGGUUGUGAAAACUGGGGGCUCAACCCUCAGAGGCCGACCGAUACUGUCGGGCUAGAGUCCGGAAGAGGCGAGUGGAAUUCCUGGUGUAGCGGUGAGAUGCGCAGAUAUCAGGAGGAACACCAAUGGCGAAGGCAGCUCGCUGGGACGGUACUGACGCUGAGGCGCGAAAGCGUGGGGAGCAAACAGG